GGUGGGAUCGCAUAGUGGACUAGUGCGCACGCUUGGAGAGCGUGUGUCGCCGCAAGGUGACCGAGGGUUCGAAUCCCUCUCCCACCG
rnacentral:tRNA from 1 species